CAAAUCCUGACCCCCCUCCAAGUGAUGGGAAAGAACUCCAGCACGUGCAACAGGCCCUGCCAAUUUUGUCUGGAGCAGAGGGAGCAGAACAUCUGGCUCAGCACUGGCAAAUCGGAUCCCUCAGACUUAUCCAACUUCUGCAUGCAUGCCUGUACCAGUGUGUGCUCCACGAGUGAUUACAUCUUCCAACAGGGAGCUGUGACCAGACCUGCACUUAGGAUGCAGACAGCAAUGCUGGAGACUGCUCCACCAGGACUUCAACACCUGGCUUUCUGUCUAAGUUCUCUCCAACCAGAGUAACAAACCAUGGCAAUCAAGUUUCAUGGAGGACUGGUACCAGCCAUACCUGACGUGUUUCCUCUUGCUGCCCAGCCACCAUUUUCAGAGCCACAGAACCCUGCUCUCAUUAUACAGACCAGACAUUAUGAUUCUUCACUUCCCAGCCUUGGCUAUACAAAAUAAAUUAAUCUGCCUCCCACAGCCAUCCCUCAGGAACCCCAGGCAGCAUUUGGGUGCAGUGCUGAGUUGUGGUGAUCUGCAGCACAGCAGGUGCAGAAAGAGUUCACAAAUCGCUGCUGGACGGACUCUCGGUUUUGGGGGGGUGGCAGGAGGAUCAGGUCACAACAGGUAACCAGCCCGGUUUCAACUGAUGUGGCAUCUCUUUUACAGCUAGAUGAAAGCCAAUACCCUCAUGGAAGCAAAGACUUCCCUGGCACUGAAGAGACAGAUCCCUUUGAGAAGGGCUCAUUAACAAAAUGCCCCCCUCACACUCACUGUCAGGCCGGAUCAGUUAACGCUACACAGGCUCGGGAGAGCCCUGGUUCCAAUCCUGCCGGCAGAGCUGGGGGAGCACAGUCACACAGACAGAAAGCUGCAGGAUAAAGCACAGCCCCAGCCUGCAGCUGACCCAAAGGCUCACCCGGGCUCAGCAGGAGUGUGUGCACUGCCCACGUAAGAGACACCAGACAGGGAAAAACGGAUACGAGAAAACAGAAUACUGUAAGACAGAGUGUUUAAGCUCUGACUGUGCAAAACCAUUUCCACACAUUUAGGAGAAGGUGUAUCUAUGGCUUAGCACAAUACCCUACACAUAUUACAAAUAAUGAAUGUCUGCUCACUUUCCCUCUUCUGAAAGCAGAUGCUGUUUCAGAAAGUUGCCUAAAGAAGCUCAGCAAAUGCACACCAAUAUUUACUCCUGUCCUAGACCGCUUCAACAAAAGGCUCCUUACUCCCAAAUCAGCACAAAAGUGUUUGCAGAACAGGAUCAAUAACAAGCAAAUCCGAGCAGAGGGGAUAGGAGGAAGACAAUGAAAGUGCAAGCUGUGCUUUUCCUCAUCCAUCCACCUCAUCAGCACAUCAGUCACCAGCCCGGCUGUGUUCAGCCUCACUAACUGUUCUCACCACGGAGAUGCAACGCAAUCAAAGCCUUAUUCUGGAGCUAUCACCUUUCUCGAGCCUCAUUUGUUCAACUGGACCUAGAACAAAUAAAAAUUGAAUAAACCAAAAUAUCCCAGAAGAACCCUUUCCACGUAAGGGAAGUGUGCUGCUCAUCCCUAGUUACUCGAGAAGUACCUGAUUUCUUUUCUCAAACAGGAUUAUGUGCUGCCUCGCUGCAGGUUACAUCACCUUCCUGCACUCCCACAGCAGCACCUCAGCUCACC